rnacentral:rRNA from 1 species
UACGGGGGGGGCAAGCGUUGUUCGGAAUUACUGGGCGUAAAGGGCUCGUAGGUGGCCGACUAAGUCGGACGUGAAAUCCCUCGGCUUAACCGGGGAACUGCGUCCGAUACUGGACGGCUUGAGUUUAGGAGAGGGACGCGGAAUUCCAGGUGUAGCGGUGAAAUGCGUAGAUAUCUGGAGGAACACCGGUGGCGAAGGCGGCGUCCUGGACCAAUACUGACACUGAUGAGCGAAAGCCAGGGGAGCAAACGGG